UCUUUUCCUGAAAUGAGUAAGGAUGAAAAAGUUAUGAUACCUGUGGUCCAGAAGUCAAAGCGAUCUGAGAUUUUGCAGCGGCGAAUUCGUCGGCCUUUUUCAGUUGAUGAAGUGGAAGCACUGAUUCAAGCAGUUGAGAAACUGGGAACUGGAAGGUAAGAUUUAAGUUUGUUAAAUUAUUAUAAUGGGGUCUUCACAUAUACAUUGAUAAGUAACUGAUUAAGGCCAACAGAAAAUAAUUAGUUACUAAUACCUAUACUGUUUGUUUGCAAUAAUGAAAUAAAAGUGCACAGUCUGUCUUCUUUCUUUUAAAUGAGUAUAUGUUUAGAUAUUUCCUCUGACAAUCCCUGAUAUAUUUGUAUACUUUUUGUUACAAUCAGGUGGCGCGAUGUUAAAUGUCAUGCUUUCGGUAACGUGGACCAUCGGACAUAUGUGGAUUUAAAGGUAAAACUGUUUGUGACUUCUUCUGCACCGCAACUACACUAGCUUGUUUAUAUUGUGUUGAUCCGAAAAGGUUUAUUUCUUGCUUCUUCAUCUUUGAAGUUUGAACUUCUUUGUCAAGGGUUAGAUAGUUGAAUUCUAGGAUGAUAGACAGGAUACUUUUGGUAUGACUUAUCUUGAAUAAAUUGAAUUUGUUCUAUAAAUACUUGAUUAUCUGUGAUAAUAAUUUAAUAUAGUGAUGGGUCAGAAAUAAAUAAAUAAGCAAACAAGAGUUUAAUUUCUAUGAAUUGUCGGCAUAAAAAACGGACAUUUAAUUAGGUGGUCAAGAACAUAAAAAUGGCAAACUUCCAAACCCGAUAUCUAAAAAGAACCACAGCAGCAAUACCUUGUUGGAUGUCAAUAUAAAGUCUUUUAUAUUGUGAGUGCAUUUCUGGGAUUGAGCAGGAUAAAUGGAAAACACUGGUGCACACGGCAGGAAUAUCCCCUCGGCAAAGAAGGGG
rnacentral:lncRNA from 1 species